rnacentral:ncRNA from 1 species
AAACGAGAAGGGCAAACCUGUCGAAAGGCAGAGAAGCAAACCGCAGGUCUACGACAAGCUAUAUGACGGCUCGUUGCCGCU